AUUGAACGCUGGCGGCAGGCUUAACACAUGCAAGUCGAACGAUGAUUAUCUAGCUUGCUAGAUAUGAUUAGUGGCGGACGGGUGAGUAACAUUUAGGAAUCUGCCUAGUAGUGGGGGAUAGCUCGGGGAAACUCGAAUUAAUACCGCAUACGACCUACGGGUGAAAGGGGGCGCAAGCUCUUGCUAUUAGAUGAGCCUAAAUCAGAUUAGCUAGUUGGUGGGGUAAAGGCCCACCAAGGCGACGAUCUGUAACUGGUCUGAGAGGAUGAUCAGUCACACCGGAACUGAGACACGGUCCGGACUCCUACGGGAGGCAGCAGUGGGGAAUAUUGGACAAUGGGGGCAACCCUGAUCCAGCCAUGCCGCGUGUGUGAAGAAGGCCUUUUGGUUGUAAAGCACUUUAAGCAGGGAGGAGAGGCUAAUGGUUAAUACCCAUUAGAUUAGACGUUACCUGCAGAAUAAGCACCGGCUAACUCUGUGCCAGCAGCCGCGGUAAUACAGAGGGUGCGAGCGUUAAUCGGAAUUACUGGGCGUAAAGCGAGUGUAGGUGGCUCAUUAAGUCACAUGUGAAAUCCCCGGGCUUAACCUGGGAACUGCAUGUGAUACUGGUGGUGCUAGAAUAUGUGAGAGGGAAGUAGAAUUCCAGGUGUAGCGGUGAAAUGCGUAGAGAUCUGGAGGAAUACCGAUGGCGAAGGCAGCUUCCUGGCAUAAUAUUGACACUGAGAUUCGAAAGCGUGGGUAGCAAACAGGAUUAGAUACCCUGGUAGUCCACGCCGUAAACGAUGUCUACUAGCCGUUGGGGUCCUUGAGACUUUAGUGGCGCAGUUAACGCGAUAAGUAGACCGCCUGGGGAGUACGGCCGCAAGGUUAAAACUCAAAUGAAUUGACGGGGGCCCGCACAAGCGGUGGAGCAUGUGGUUUAAUUCGAUGCAACGCGAAGAACCUUACCUGGUCUUGACAUAGUGAGAAUCCUGCAGAGAUGCGGGAGUGCCUUCGGGAAUUCACAUACAGGUGCUGCAUGGCUGUCGUCAGCUCGUGUCGUGAGAUGUUGGGUUAAGUCCCGCGACGAGCGCAACCCUUUUCCUUAUUUGCCAGCGGGUUAAGCCGGGAACUUUAAGGAUACUGCCAGUGACAAACUGGAGGAAGGCGGGGACGACGUCAAGUCAUCAUGGCCCUUACGACCAGGGCUACACACGUGCUACAAUGGUAGGUACAGAGGGUUGCUACACAGCGAUGUGAUGCUAAUCUCAAAAAGCCUAUCGUAGUCCGGAUUGGAGUCUGCAACUCGACUCCAUGAAGUCGGAAUCGCUAGUAAUCGCAGAUCAGAAUGCUGCGGUGAAUAAAUUCCCGGGCCU
rnacentral:rRNA from 1 species